rnacentral:scRNA from 1 species
CGUACGUUACGUUAACGUUAACGUUAACGUUAACGUUAACGUUAACGUUAACGUUAACUUAACGUUAACGUUAACGUUAACGUUAACGUUAACGUUAACGUUAACGUUAACGUUAACGUUAACGUUUAAACGUUUAAACGUUUAAACG